rnacentral:lncRNA from 1 species
AUCUUGCCCAUGUGAUGCGCAUUUUGUCUGCAGAAAAUAUCCCAAAUUUACCUCCCGGGGGAGGCCUCGCUGGCAAGCGCAAUGUUAUUGAAGCUGUUUAUAGUAGACUUAAUCCAAACAAAGACAAUGAUGGGUUUUACCAACCUUCAAUUCCAUACAGUGACAAUGUUUUCCUAUUAUGAAUGGCAGACUUGAGCACGUCUAUUUGUAAAGCCAGCUGAGAACUCUGGUGACACAGCAGAGGCUGAUCAACCUACCAAGAGCCCGGAAGUACAAAGAAGAACAAAAGUUUUGUUUUGUUUUUGUAAACUCGAAAGAAAAAAAACAAGUCCAGCAUUACGUCAGUGCGGUAUCUGUUCCGCUGUGAGCGGUAACCUUCUAGCCCAUCAGCGAAGGAGGAGGAGAGCUCCCACCUUGCCUUACAAACCUUGCUUUUCCAUGUUCAUGCAAUAAACACGUUUGGCUUCUUGGU